GAUGAACGCUGGCGGCGUGCCUAAUACAUGCAAGUCGAGCGAACGGACGAGAAGCUUGCUUCUCUGAUGUUAGCGGCGGACGGGUGAGUAACACGUGGAUAACCUACCUAUAAGACUGGGAUAACUUCGGGAAACCGGAGCUAAUACCGGAUAAUAUUUUGAACCGCAUGGUUCAAAAGUGAAAGACGGUCUUGCUGUCACUUAUAGAUGGAUCCGCGCUGCAUUAGCUAGUUGGUAAGGUAACGGCUUACCAGGGCAACGAUGCAUAGCCGACCUGAGAGGGUGAUCGGCCACACUGGAACUGAGACACGGUCCAGACUCCUACGGGAGGCAGCAGUAGGGAAUCUUCCGCAAUGGGCGAAAGCCUGACGGAGCAACGCCGCGUGAGUGAUGAAGGUCUUCGGAUCGUAAAACUCUGUUAUUAGGGAAGAACAUAUGUGUAAGUAACUGUGCACAUCUUGACGGUGCCUAAUCAGAAAGCCACGGCUAACUACGUG
rnacentral:rRNA from 1 species